rnacentral:rRNA from 1 species
AACGAACGCUGGCGGCAGGCCUAACACAUGCAAGUCGAGCGCACCCUUCGGGGCGAGCGGCGGACGGGUUAGUAACGCGUGGGAACAUACCCAAUGGUACGGAAUAGCCUCGGGAAACUGAGAGUAAUACCGUAUGUGCCCUUCGGGGGAAAGAUUUAUCGCCAUUGGAUUGGCCCGCGUUAGAUUAGAUAGUUGGUGGGGUAAUGGCCUACCAAGUCUACGAUCUAUAGCUGGUUUUAGAGGAUGAUCAGCAACACUGGGACUGAGACACGGCCCAG